rnacentral:rRNA from 1 species
UAGGGAAUCUUCCGCAAUGGGCGAAAGCCUGACGGAGCAACGCCGCGUGAGUGAUGAAGGUCUUCGGAUCGUAAAACUCUGUUAUUAGGGAAGAACAAAUGUGUAAGUAACUAUGCACGUCUUGACGGUACCUAAUCAGAAAGCCACGGCUAACUACGUGCCAGCAGCCGCGGUAAUACGUAGGUGGCAAGCGUUAUCCGGAAUUAUUGGGCGUAAAGCGCGCGUAUGCGGUUUUUUAAGUCUGAUGUGAAAGCCCACGGCUCAACCGUGGAGGGUCAUUGGAAACUGGAAAACUUGAGUGCAGAAGAGGAAAGUGGAAUUCCAUGUGUAGCGGUGAAAUGCGCAGAGAUAUGGAGGAACACCAGUGGCGAAGGCGACUUUCUGGUCUGUAACUGACGCUGAUGUGCGAAAGCGGGGGGAUCAAACAGG